UCGAGCAAGUGCAGCUCGCCGGAAGUGUUGCGUUUUGCACUGCAUUUUCCUUGUGAUAUGGGAGAUCGCAACGCAGAGACGACCAGAUGCAUACGAAAGACUACCAGCGGAGAGUGACCUGUGCCAUAUUUCUCUUAACCUCUCAGGUAUUCAAGAAAUGGCAACAUCCAGAAGAAGACGCCAUCUUAUCCAGCACGUUAUGGGUACACUCUGGUGGCUCCCGCCCCUGCAUUCU